rnacentral:tRNA from 1 species
GUGCCCUUAGCUCAGGUGGAUAGAGCGUGGGUUUCCGAAGCCCAAGGUCGGGGGUUCAAGUCCCCCAGGGCACGC